GCCCAAAUCUUCCUCUUUGUUUUAAAAUUUAUAUAUACUUUUGCAGGUUUCUAAAAAAAUCUUAUAGUAUGACUCUUUGUUGGAAAUAAUGGUGAACUUCACAUUAUGGGUUUUGAAAAACAAAUUUUCGGUGAAAUCUUAACUCAUUUUUCCUUCACUCUGUCAGAUUCUUUAUCCUUAUCAUAUAUGAUUUAAAUUUUGUCUUUUUUUUAAAGUUCCGAUCGGAUUUCUUUUAGGAUUUGAAAGUAAGUCACGAGGGAGAAGAACUUCCUCAAUUUGUUGGAUGCUCCGUCUGUUUAAGUGAAUACAAUCUAAUCUUCAAUUGGCUUUCAUGGGAGAACUGCAAUUUACUAUGAAGAAACCUAUCUGCUUUGAUUAUAAAAAGUUAUAGUGACAAUUCAUUUUGUUUCAUCACCGAACUUCCCAAUAUUCAAUUUCUUAUGAGAGGUAUAUUCAGAAGAUAUUGUGACAAAGUUCAUUGAGGGACUUAUCGAGGCCUAUUCCAGGUUGCAAUAUCAUAAUGGUUUCCCUGAGGUUUAGGUUGUCUUGAAUGUUGAUGCUUCUGGUGAAAAAGUAUGCCAAGAUCGUGAUAAUAUCACGUCUUCCAUUUGCACUAUGUCUCAUUUCUCUAUUUCAACACUAGAAUUUUCUUUUCAUUAGUAGCACUAAUAACUGUGCAUUCAAAGCUCCAUACAUAAGUUGGAAAUGGAUGAAGCUUGAUAGAUUAGUCUAAUUUGUAUAUUGAUGAAACUAGAAAGCUUCUUAUAAUGAGUUACACUACACUACAGGUCUCUUCUGUGUAGCUUGCUCACCUCUUCUGAAAGAAAACAAUAAAUUUUUAUGAGA